GCAGAAGUAGUUCAGUGGCAGAACACCAGCUUCCCAAGCUGGUCAUGCGGGUUCGAUUCCCGUCUUCUGCUCCA
rnacentral:tRNA from 1 species